GUCAUGACAUCAUCUCAGGUACUUUUCGUCCGGGAGCCUGACUCCUGUAGAUGCUGAAAGGAAUAAAAAUACAGGACCCUCCAUGGUGCAGGAUUGUCCAGAGGUCAAGGGUAAUCUGUCCAUGGUGGCCGUCAUGGUGGAUUCAAGGAAACAAAAUUACUGCUUGUGAAUCCGGGUGAAGAUCUGAACAAUAUUAAUCCUACAGAGACAGAUGUG